rnacentral:rRNA from 1 species
GAGUUUGAUCCUGGCUCAGAACGAACGCUGGCGGCGUGCUUAACACAUGCAAGUCGAACGCGAACGGGACUUCGGUUCCAAGUAGAGUGGCGCACGGGUGAGUAACGCGUAGAUAACCUGUCUUUAUGUCUGGAAUAACACGCCGAAAGGGGUACUAAUACCGGAUAUGCUUGCAUUUCACAGGUAAGGCAAGCAAAGGUGGCCUCUGGAACAAGCUACUGCAUAGAGAGGGGUCUGCGUACCAUUAGCUAGUAGGUGGGGUAAUGGCCUACCUAGGCGACGAUGGUUAGCGGGUCUGAGAGGAUGAUCCGCCACACUGGCACUGGAAUACGGGCCAGACUCCUACGGGAGGCAGCAGUGAGGAAUAUUGCGCAAUGGGGGGAACCCUGACGCAGCGACGCCGCGUGAGUGAGGAAGGCCUUCGGGUCGUAAAGCUCUGUCAAGAGGGAAGAAGUGUACGCUGGCCAAUACCCGGCGUAUUUGACGUACCUUAAAGAAGCACCGCA